rnacentral:ncRNA from 2 species
GAAUAAUUUCUUAAUUUAACUCGUAUAUCCCCUGAAUAUGGCAGGGAGUUUCUACCGGGAACCGCAAAGUCCUGACUAUGAGUGAAGUUAUUGUGGCA